rnacentral:lncRNA from 1 species
GCGGGCGACAAUCCCGGAAGACCCCUUAUUAACACAUACUUUAACCCCAAGGAAACACCAUUUUUCCACAAGUUUAAUUUCUGCCUUUGGAAGGGUUGGCAGUUCGGCGGGGUGAACCUUCCCGGUACAAGCACCCCUCCCUGGAGCCUCCUGCAGCAGGGGUCGGGGGCUCUCGCCCCAGCUCUGACUUCGCAGCGAGGCCCGGAAAUCGGUCCCGUUACAGCCGAUUUCACCCGUCAGGAAUGCGCUCCUCCCCCGCGGCCUCCCCCGCGGCCUCCCCCGGCGGCGGCGGCGGCGGCGGCGGCGGCGGCCCGGGCGGUACCGCAGGGAGCGCCCUCCGCCCGUCACGGCACGGCUCGGUCCGGCGCCGACUCCACAGACCGACUGCCCGGGCCGGGCGCGCAGAGCGCGGGGCGGAUCCCACGCUCGGCCUCAGCCUGCGCCGCCAGGGGGGCGCCGGCGCCGCGGCCGCGCGGGGGACGCGGAACCAGCCCGCGGCCUGACCCCAGGACUGGCCCGACUCCCGGGGCUGAGCCCGAGAGGGGGCGCCUUCCCGGGGGAUUUCUGAAUCCAUUUCCGUCCCGGGGAGGGGCGCGAGGGCAGCGGUCGUGCCGGAGCGCCUGGAGUCGGAAACGGGAGCCGCCCCGGCCCUCCCGCACCCAGGCGCAACCUCCUCCCGAGCCGCCAGUACCUUCAACGCCUCGGGGCGGCGGCGGGCGCCAGAGUGCGGGUGAGCAGGCCCAUCCCUCGGCGGCGGCGGCAGAGGCCGGAGGAGGCACCGAGGAGGGUUCCCCAGAGCCGCCGAGGCGCCUCUCAGCUGGGGCGGGGGGAACGCAGAAGAGGGGUCCCGACGGCCGCUUUCCCGAACUCCUCCUCCGCAGUUCUGUCUUGACGGCUGUUCCCGGGAACCAGCGCCCCAACUGCCAUUCUCCCCCUCCUUCAGCCCCCGCUGUCCCCGCCUCCUCCUCCCACUGCUUCCUCCGGCCCCGGCCCGCCCCGCCCCGCCCCGCCCCGCCCCGCCCCGCCCCGCCGCGCCGCGCCGCGCCCCGCCGCCCGCCCGCGUGCCGUGCGUCAUGGCGUCACGCCCACCCGGCCAGCCGCAGGCGGCGCUGGGACCCAGCGGUCCGCUCGCGCGCUUUCGCCCGGGCCCGGCUUAACGCGUUCCACCUGCGGCCGGGUGGCUGGGAGGGCGGCCUUCCCGCUAGUCCCCGGCGAGGGCCGGUCGGCCGCCCUCUCUGCCGCUCGGCCGUGGCACUUCGCCCCGAGCGGGCGGGGCUGUGGCGCAGGCGUCGCCUCUGGGGGUGGGUGGCGUGGCUGGAGUUCCCUCGUGCUGCUGGAUGCUGGGCUUGA